rnacentral:misc_RNA from 1 species
GAAAUGCGAUAAGUAAUGUGAAUUGCAGAAUUCAGUGAAUCAUCGAAUCUUUGAACGCACCUUGCGCUCCUUGGUAUUCGAGGAGCAUGCCUGUUUGAGUGUCAUGGAAUUCUCAACUCUAUUUGCUUUUGUGAAUAGAGCUUGGAUUUGGAGGUUUAUUGCUGGUACUUGUGAUCGGCUCCUCUUGAAUGCAUUAGCUCGAACCUUUGCGGAUCAGCUAUCGGUGUGAUAAUUGUCUACGCCGUUGCAGUGAAGCAUAUCAAUGGGCUCGGCUUCCAAUCGUCCUUUACUGGACAAUGACUUUGACCUUUGACCUCAAAUCAGGUAGGAUUACCCGCUGAACUUAAGC